AUGUAGCUGCAUGAGGGAUGGAAGUGGCAUCCUUUUAUAGCACGAUAGCGAUAUAAAAGAUACAACGUACAGCCCGACCUGCC
rfam:Flavobacterium frigoris PS1 66_20, whole genome shotgun sequence.